UUUUUUUUUUUUGUUAUUUCCUUAUUAUUAUUAUCAGCCAUAUUGGGUGGGUGCUAUUUUCUAAAAUUGGUAGUAAUUAAACCCCUGAUUCAAUUCUUUGCCCUACUGAUACAUUAUUGAAUCCAUCAUACAUUUCCAUACCCACUCCUUUAUCAAACAUGUUAUGUAACUGCGUCAACUACAAUAUACUUCUAUUAUUUUGAGCCUCAAACCCAAAUCUGCCUAACUCUAUUAUUGGACCCAUCCUAAGCAUCUACACCAAGUUCUUCAAUUAAAUUGUUUAAUCAUGUACCUCACACAUUUAGCUGGGCCAAUAGCCCAUACUCAUUGUGAAAAUCCUUUUCUCUCUAUUUUCGUUUUAUCAAUCUUCAUAAUAUGGUUUCAACCUGUACAAAAUUUGGUUUGGCCCGUGGACACAAUUGGACUUCGGGCAAUUUCUCCUCCGGUUUACAUCCCAUUUAUAUGGUUUGGGUUUUUUUUAUUUAAUAUUUUCCUUUGGAUCAGCCCAUCUGCACUCAAUGGGUUGGUCCAUUUCUAGAUUUUUUUGGGCACCCGUUAUCAUAGAUGAGUUAGGUCCAUAGAGGCUGAAGAGCUUCUUCCUUAACCUUAAUUCAUCUUCUAAAUUCUUGAAUAGGCUUCUUGAAGUACAUGAACAACAUCCAUAAUGACAUAUUGAAAAUCCUAACCCCAUUACACUGCCCUGUACUAGUUUUAUAUACUCUAACUUUUAUAUAACAACUAAUUACAUAAAUUUUACGGUACUUAAAAAUUUAACUAUAUAUCUAUUCAACUUUAAAUGUACAAUUUUAGAUCAUUGUUAAAAUGUUAAAUUAUUCUUACCACUGGUGGCGAUUCAUAGUAGCUUCAGAUGCCUCUUUAUUUGGACUUAUAAAACCAACACCAAAAAUCGUUUGCUUUUUAUCGAAAAGAAUUUUUAAAUAAAAAGAACCAGUGAUAAAAGUGCAGUUUCGGCUUACCUUCAAAAAGCAGCCCACCCUUCCUGCAACUUACCUUGGUCGCUUGGCGUACGUGACAUUGGGAUAUCUUCUCCUCUUCUCUUAUAGAAGCUCAUUCGCCCAUUCUUUCUUUCUCCACCGCCUACCAUAUCUCUUUAAGGAUUAUGUUUCCAUUUUUCUCUUUGUUUUUUUGUUUGAUAUACUCUCCACAAUUAAAUGGUCUUUGGUUCAAAUGGUGUGAUUUGAACCAUUCAACGAGAUGUAUGCGUGGCACAAUUUGGUUCACCCAUCGUGCGUUUGACAUGUUUCUCCGCAUGUCACUCUCCCUAAUUGGACAUCCUGACAAUUUUAACUAUUGAGGUGUCAAUAUUUAUGAAAUUUAUGAUUUUUACCUCAAUUUGUAUGUUUCUUUUUAGUUUGGUC
rnacentral:lncRNA from 1 species